rnacentral:tRNA from 1 species
GGAGGAUUCGCCUAGUGGCCUAUGGCGCUCGCCUGGAACGCGGGUUGGGUUAACGCCCUCAGGGGUUCAAAUCCCCUAUCCUCCGCCACGA